GAAUGGGGUCGUCUAGUCUGUAUUCAGACCCUUCACAGGAGAUAAUUAUACAAAUGUUGCAUAACUAUGCACGCCUUAGAUAAUAUAAGAGUUAAGAGAGGAGAAAUUGAGUACAAGUAAAUACGAAAAAGUAGAAAUUUAACAAGAAAAAACAUUAAAAAAACAAUGUUAACAUUAAACGUUGUGCAAGAAGUUUAUAGUAUGGUUGCUAAAAACGUGCUACAUUUUUGACUCCGUCUUAGUUGCAAUUGAAAUACCUUGAACGUUCACUAAGCAGGUACAUCAUAGAAUUAUAUGCAGUGUAAUGAUAUGAAGUAAACUGAAAGUGUACUAAAUUUCUGUGUAUUUGACUGCAUUUCCUGUAAUUUACCGACUGCCUGGUCCGCAAUCUAGACAUUGCAUUAGUUACGGUAUACAUGUAGCUCUAGGAACACUAACACCCGUUAACUAUUUCUAUGAAUGUGUAAGACAUAUAUAAUAUUAAGAACAGGUGUCAGUGUGAUGAGAACGUUUUUGAUAAUAUAGUCGGAUAAUAUAUUCGUGAUACACUUUAUUUUAUUGAGAAGUUACUAAACAAUGAUGUUGUGAUCGGCGGGAAAACAAUUAUUUGCGAUGUCUAAAAUUGAAUGGGAUUGAUGAAAAGAUCAAAAGAACAAUACUGGAAAAGCUGAUGACUGUGACAAAAGGCGCUAAUCGAAGAAAAAAAUAUCAGAGACGAACAAUUACACAUGAAUAAGAUAUACAUGAUCAAGAGAAGAACGAAUAUACAUGCAUAACAUCCCAGGUCAAAUAUUGAACAAGGAUCAGAAGAAAGAAUAGAUUUAGACAUUUGUGAAAGGAACAAUGGAAACUUUGAAAGUUUACUCUUUCUGAAACGCAUAACUACAACAAAGAUGUGAUCAUUGUAUUAGAAACUGAAUUUUCCAGUCUUGUAGUGAUUUAACUAGCUUACCAAGACAUAUACCUUCAUGUUUUAUACACUUAUCUUUUUCAUGAUUUUUUUUAUUUUUAUAUUAUAUCUGAUCGAAGUAGCAUUGAAAAAAACGGGAAUAUAUAAAUAUUUAAGAGAAAGUUACUACAUUUUGUACUUGGAAUAACUUAAAAAGAGAUACGACGUUUCGUUGAUUCUUGAUAUUAGCACAAUUGUAAGUGAUAUUGAUAUCUCA